rnacentral:rRNA from 2 species
AACGUAGGAGACGAGCGUUAUCCGGAUUUACUGGGCGUAAAGCGCGUGUAGGAGGCGCUACAAGUUGGAUGUGAAAGCUCCCGGCUUAACUGGGAGAGGUCGUUCAAGACUGUAGAGCUAGAGUGAGGCAGAGGUAGAUGGAACUCCGGGAGUAGUGGUGAAAUGCGUAGAUAUCCGGAAGAACACCAGAGGCGAAAGCGAUCUACUGGACCUAAACUGACACUGAGACGCGAAAGCCAGGGUAGCAAACGGG